UCAGUGGCGAACGGGUGAGUAACACGUGAGCAACCUGCCCCGGACUCUGGGAUAAGCGCUGGAAACGGCGUCUAAUACUGGAUAUGAGACACCACCGCAUGGUGAGUGUUUGGAAAGAUUUUUCGGUCUGGGAUGGGCUCGCGGCCUAUCAGCUUGUUGGUGAGGUAAUGGCUCACCAAGGCGUCGACGGGUAGCCGGCCUGAGAGGGUGACCGGCCACACUGGGACUGAGACACGGCCCAGACUCCUACGGGAGGCAGCAGUGGGGAAUAUUGCACAAUGGGCGCAAGCCUGAUGCAGCAACGCCGCGUGAGGGACGACGGCCUUCGGGUUGUAAACCUCUUUUAGCAGGGAAGAAGCGAAAGUGACGGUACCUGCAGAAAAAGCGCCGGCUAACUACGUGCCAGCAGCCGCGGUAAUACGUAGGGCGCAAGCGUUAUCCGGAAUUAUUGGGCGUAAAGAGCUCGUAGGCGGUUUGUCGCGUCUGCUGUGAAAUCCCGAGGCUCAACCUCGGGUCUGCAGUGGGUACGGGCAGACUAGAGUGCGGUAGGGGAGAUUGGAAUUCCUGGUGUAGCGGUGGAAUGCGCAGAUAUCAGGAGGAACACCGAUGGCGAAGGCAGA
rnacentral:rRNA from 1 species